rnacentral:pre_miRNA from 1 species
UCUAGAACUCAAGAUAUGAGCUGAAAACCGAACAGUGUUUGAGCUGCAGGACAUGUUCCGACUUCUCCGUUGUUGCUAAGAUUUGAACUUGAAAACGGCAGAAUUGAGUCUUGGACUCUUCAUGAAAGUUUUAGGUCCAUGUCUUAGCUUUCCAUC